UUGGUAAUGCGCAUUAAAAGUUGUUUUUCUUAUUCCAUGAUAAUUUACAUAGUAAUCUAAACAAUGAAUUUUAAGUUAUUUUGCUUAACCCUUUUUUUGUGAUUUUAAACAACCAUGACAAGAAUCAACAUUAACACAUCAUUAUCAUCUAAACAAUAAUUUAAAGCCACCAUCAUCAUCAAAAAUCUACUUUUGAAUUAUGUAUCAACAAACAAGCUGAUAAUAUCCUUAUUUUACUCCACUUUGAAUGUCCUUUUAUCCCUUUAUUUCUUUAUCUGUCUGACCUUUACAUUUUGGUUUUCUCUUGAUCAACUGAUCAACAUGAAUAUUUUGGCUGAUGCAUUUUAGGAAUCGGACGUUAGCAUCGUGACCUGAGAUUGAACACAUCAACAGCGAUUGUUAAAAGUGGCCAACGGAAAUCGUGUUUAAAAGAUUAUUAUUGGUUAAGGAAGAAAGCAAAAGAGAAACAAAAUAAGGUGAAAAGCAUCUUGCUUCAGGCCUAACAGGUAUCACCAUCAAUUUAGCAUCAAAGCUAAAGAUAAAGGAAUCUGGUGGAUGAUAAAAUGAAAAUAAAUACAUUUAUUUAUAUCUAAAAAAAGGGAUAAAAAUGAUUUUCAAGCGUUUACAGUUAAAGUAAACUUGGAAUCAAAUGGAUGGCAAUGCUGGUGAUCAAAAAUGAUGCCAAUUAUUGAAAAUGAUAUGAUUUGAGGGAAACAAUCAAUAACUUUAAACAAAUGGAUGGAUUGAUCAAUAUCAUCUCAACUCGGAUUGUAUUACAAAAUGAUGAUUGAUUAACAAGUUUGGCUUACAAUCAAUAACCAGUUGUAACCUUGAUGUCAUCAAAAGGGCUCAAAUCAAUCAAAGAGACUUUCAUUUGUGACUGGCUGCAAAGACUUGAUCAAAGAUUUGCUUUUGAAAUGUGAAUGAAAUCAGUUAAACAUUUCAAUCAAAAUUUGUAGCAUCAAUGGCUCAAAGACAAAUCAACCCUUUCAAAAUAAACAUGUCAAACAAUUUUGAAUAUAAAUUACAAUAUGUAUAAUUGAGUGUGGAUCAAUGAAGACAGCUAAAUGUUGACAAGGAUGGAUCUUACAAGCCUAAAACAAGUGUUUAGUAUAUGACAAGAGUUGCUGGUGAAAAUGCAAAUUGUAACAGUUUAUGGAUCAUCGAUAUUGGAGGUUAACAUUGAAAACCACACGAUUCGUUCUGAUUAAUUGUGAUCCCAAACACCCAAUAACGGACUACAAACAUGAUCAGAAAUGAUAGUAAACACACUCAACGUUAAACAAUCAAACCAAUUACAGCAGUUUUUUUUCAUCAUCUUAUGCAAGUAGCAUCUUUGGUCGGAAGCCAAAAUUAACCUUAACCAGACUUGAAGCCACAUACACUUGUUAACAUAAAGUGAUCAUCUCCAUCAUCAUUAUCAUCAUGAUGUGUUUAUUGAGAAGCUGUUACAAUUAUUGCUGAUUAUUCUUACAAUUAGUUGAAAUGUUAUUAUCAAUGUACUGAUUGCGUGUCUAAUAGGAAGCAAAGAAAAGUAAAUCAGUGUUGAUGAUCAGCACUCUUUUUUCCUGGAAUAUUUGGUAAUAUCUUUAAACACGCAAUAAUAACGCGACGAUAAAGCUGAAAAUGAUUGAGAUGAAACUUUAUUUAUACCAUUCAAUGUAAAUUACAAUGGACACCAACAAGCAAAGCUAUUGAUCAUUUUUCCAGUCAUUAUUAAUCAACUCAUUAAUCUCAAUUAGCGAAAGAACGUUAAACUAGCAAAGAGAUGUAAAUUAAAUCAACAGUUAUUUACAAUUUGGUGGGACCAAAACAUGGAUGGGCCAAAAGACUAAAGAUGAAAUUUAACCUUUUCAAAGCAAUGUUGAAAUGUAUUGAUGGUCAACAAUUGAUGUGAACCUGUCAACAAUUAACAAUAAUUGUCUACAAACAUAAUACAAGAUGAUGACAUAGAGAAGAGCCCAAACAAAUAUAAAGCUACUGCUGAUAACCAACGGAAAAUGUUCCAAUACAAUUAUAAUGAUGAUAACAAGACAAGACAAGUGAUAAUAAUAAUAACAAUAAUGAGUUAAAGUGAACGAGUAAAAAAAAUUUGAGGCCAACAGUUAUUAUUUAAGGUCAUUUCCCGUUGAUAAACAACAAGUUAACCAUCAAUAAGUUGGUCUAUUUUAUCCUUCAUUACCUACUUAUUAUGUAUCCGUUCAGUUUUUUGUUUUUUGCCAAUUUUAAAAGGUCAAUCUUGAGCUGUUCAUCCUCAUCAUUGCCAUCUUCAUACCGAUGAAUUUCACAAACAAGAAAAAAAAUGAACAUUCAAAUUCAGUUGAAAGAAGCUUCAAAACUCUUAAAGCAAAAAAGCAAAGAUUGAAAUACCAAACCAGGAUAAGGAUUUGAACAUUCAACCAUUUUCCUCAUCUUCAUCAUUUAGAUUUAUAAAGACAUUUUCAACCAUUAAUUUAUCACUUAACCCAUUCCUGAAUCAAGAUUACAAGAUUAAUUGAUUAAUUGGGUGAAAAAUAUUUGAACCCAAUUUGCAAAUCUCUUUGCUAUUGCUUUUUAGAUGGCAAAAAAUGUCAAUAAUCAAUCAGAUUAACUCAACUAAUUGCUAAUGUUGAUUAUUUCGAUGCUUUAAAGGUCAACAUUUCAUGAGCAAAAGAUUGAGCAAAUUUAUAUCAACAAAUCCCAAUGAGCAAAACGUUUUCACCUUUUAAAACUACUUGAAAAUUUGCAAUCAAAAGUUGAUCUCAAAUUGAACUAUUAUAAGAUUAAUUGAAGUGGAAAAUGAAAGUAAAUCACUUUAAUUGUAAUCAUCAUUAUUGUUAUAAUUUUAAUUUCUCAUCACUUUUCUUAGCAAUAAUAAACAACAAUUUAAAUGCGGAAAAAGGAAGCUCAAUGUUGGUCAGAAGUGACAAAAAUAACGAGUUAAUUGUGAUUGAAAUGGGAAA